rnacentral:rRNA from 1 species
GAUGAACGCUGGCGGCGUGCCUAAUACAUGCAAGUCGAGCGAACAGACGAGGAGCUUGCUCCUCUGACGUUAGCGGCGGACGGGUGAGUAACACGUGGAUAACCUACCUAUAAGACUGGGAUAACUUCGGGAAACCGGAGCUAAUACCGGAUAACAUGUUGAACCGCAUGGUUCAACAGUGAAAGACGGUCUUGCUGUCGCUUAUAGAUGGAUCCGCGCCGCAUUAGCUAGUUGGUAAGGUAACGGCUUACCAAGGCAACGAUGCGUAGCCGACCUGAGAGGGUGAUCGGCCACACUGGAACUGAGACACGGUCCAGACUCCUACGGGAGGCAGCAGUAGGGAAUCUUCCGCAAUGGGCGAAAGCCUGACGGAGCAACGCCGCGUGAGUGAAGAAGGUCUUCGGAUCGUAAAACUCUGUUAUUAGGGAAGAACAAAUGUGUAAGUAACUAUGCACGUCUUGACGGUACCUAAUCAGAAAGCCACGGCUAACUACAU